UUAUGGCUCAGGAUGAACGCUAGCGGCAGGCUUAACACAUGCAAGUCGAGGGGCAGCGGGAUGUAGCAAUACAUGCCGGCGACCGGCGGAUGGGUGCGUAACGCGUAUGCAACCUACCUUAUACAGGGGAAUAACCUUUCGAAAGGGAGACUAACACCCCAUAGUAUUGAUUUAAGGCAUCUUAGAUUAAUUAAAUAUUUAUAGGUAUAAGAUGGGCAUGCGUAUGAUUAGCUAGUUGGUAAGGUAACGGCUUACCAAGGCGACGAUCAUUAGGGGUUCUGAGAGGAAGGUCCCCCACACUGGUACUGAGACACGGACCAGACUCCUACGGGAGGCAGCAGUGAGGAAUAUUGGUCAAUGGGCGCAAGCCUGAACCAGCCAUGCCGCGUGCAGGAAAGACGGCCUUAUGGGUUGUAAACUGCUUUUAUAGUAGAAGAAACACAUCUACGUGUAGAUGUCUGCCAGUAUACUAUGAAUAAGCAUCGGCUAACUCCGUGCCAGCCGCGGC
rnacentral:rRNA from 1 species